UACGUCUAUGCCACGCUGUAUAAACAUAUUUUCGUCCGUUCAGCGAAAUUAAGCAGCGUCGGGCACGGUCAGUACUUGGAUGGGUGACCGCCUGGGAU